rnacentral:tRNA from 1 species
CAGACUGUAGCUUAAGAAGUAUAGCAUCUCCCUUACACCGAGAAGAUAUUCGUGCAAGUCGAAUCAUUCUGA